rnacentral:rRNA from 1 species
CCCUUAGACGUUCUGGGCCGCACGCGCGCUACACUGACGAAGGCAACGAGCUUUCCUUUACCGAAAGGUACGGGUAAUCUUUUGAAACUUCGUCGUGCUGGGGAUAGAUCCUUGCAAUUUUUGAUCUUAAACGAGGAAUGCCUAGUAAGCGCAAGUCAUCAACUUGCGUUGAUUACGUCCCUGCCCUUUGUACACACCGCCCGUCGCUACUACCGAUUGAAUGGUUUAGUGAGGCCUUCGGAUCCGCGACUCGUUUGUGGAGAAGUCGGACAAACUCAGUCAUUUAGAGGAAGUAAAAGUCGUAACA